AAAAAAACCCAAAAAACCAAUAAGUAUUAAACAACUGUUAUCGAUCUCAUUAUCGCACUUUGUAUGUAGCGCCCUCUUGCGGUUUUAUUAUCUUGUUUAUGUUUUCUGUACGUUGCAUUAUGGGGUAGCUUUCCUCUGUUUGCCUUUGCGCGUGGGUUUUAAAUUCAGUAGCAUGUACCGGUUGAAGGUAAAAACAUGUGUGGCUACUAAUUAAGUUUUUGAAUCCUGUAUAUUAUGGUAUUGUCAUACCUGAUUGCGGUUGUAAUCCUGAUGAUAAGGAUAGCUUUUGAUGAAAGAUCUUUGUAUUGAUGCUAGCUUCAGUGUGCAGUUGUAUUGCGCCAUAAUUUAUUCACCAGGUCGGUGCGAAGUGACGAAAUAAAUUAGUCUGACAAACUACAGGAACUCGUCUCGUAUCCUACUUUGCGUGUAAUAGUUUGGCGCCCUCAGUGUUAUCUGGCUAGAUACCACUACAACAACAAUGAAUGAUAAUGGGAAAAUUAAUUUCAAUGAUGGUGUGAAGUGAUUUUGUACAAGAAUAUACAAUCUGAUCAAACAGUGUUUGUGCAAGAAUAUACAAAUCUGAUCAAACAGUGUUUGUUGACUUUAAAGCUCUGUCUACACUAUCAAAGUUUCUUUGAAAUAAAACCUGUUG